GAUUAACGCUGGCGGCGUGCCUAACACAUGCAAGUCGAGCGGCAGCGAGUUUUACACUGAAUUCUGGAAGCUUCUAGUUGAAAGAGAAGAUUUAUUCAAGAAUUUUGUGUAAAAUGUCGGCGAGCGGCGGACGGCUGAGUAACGCGUGGGAACGUACCCCAAAGUGAGGGAUAACGCAUCGAAAGGUGUGCUAAUACCGCAUAUGGUCUUCGGAUUAAAGCCUUCGGGCGCUUUGGGAACGGCCUGCGUAAGAUUAGAUAGUUGGUGGGGUAAUGGCCUACCAAGUCGACGAUCUUUAGCUGGUUUGAGAGGAUGAUCAGUCAGACUGGAACUGAGACACGGUCCAGACUCCUACGGGAGGCAGCAGUGAGGAAUCUUCCACAAUGGGCGAAAGCCUGAUGGAGCAACGCCGCGUGCAGGAUGAAGGCCUUCGGGUUGUAAACUGCUUUUAUAAGUGAGGAUUAUGACAGUAACUUAUGAAUAAGGAUCGGCUAACUACGUG
rnacentral:rRNA from 1 species